AGUCCGACGGGGGGCAGCAGUGAGGAAUAUUGGUCAAUGGGAGAGAUCCUGAACCAGCCAAGCCGCGUGAGGGAAGACGGCCCUAUGGGUUGUAAACCUCUUUUGUCGGAGAACAAAACCCGGGACGAGUCCCGGACUGCGUGUAUCCGAAGAAAAAGCAUCGGCUAACUCCGUGCCAGCAGCCGCGGUAAUACGGAGGAUGCGAGCGUUAUCCGGAUUUAUUGUGUUUAAAGGGUGUGUAGGCGGUCAGUUAAGUCAGCGGUA
rnacentral:rRNA from 1 species